GCAGCAGCAACCCACGGUCGCAAGGAACCACGAGUGCCAGCCAAACGAACGGGAGAGAAGCUCCUCGGUGGGCAGGAGGACGACGAGUGAGUCGGUCGGUCCACUCCGGAGCGCCAACA
rnacentral:ribozyme from 1 species